GACCUCGAAGCGAAUCGCAGGCUCCGCGAGUGACUGUAUAGGGUGGGAGGAGAAAGAGGUGGAUCUGUCGUGAGUCCUUUCUCACUCUCUCUCUCUCACGCACACACUAGACAACAGAGCGUCUUUUUACGGCUGUGGAUAAGAAAUAGAGAGAUCAGGGGGAGGGAGAGAAGGGAGGGAAGGAAGACGAUGGAGACGAGCGCUCCGACAAGGAAGCCGCGGGCCUCAACGGAUGAUCCGCUGACUUGAUCGGAGGCGCCUGCUUCCCGCUGACCGCACCAGGACGUUUGCAGUUGUCGGAUGAGGUCCACGAGGUGCUGCUCGGGGGGGGCAGGUCACCGAGGAGGCGGCCGAGAGCGUCCUGAAGAGAGCUCUGCAUGUGUUUAAAAUGGCGAAGAUUACAGGUGAAAACAGCUGAGAAAAUUCGUACCCAUUAAGUGGGAAAAAUGAGUGGCAAUGACAUCAUCAACACAACAAGGCUCCGUGGAGAGAAACACUUGGUAUGGCAAAGCUAAAACAGAUUAUUGCAGUUUGUCUUCUCUGACAUGUUACCCUCUUUUCUAAUGGUGGCCUCCAUGCUUGGGUUCGAAGUUCCUUACCUUGACUGUUUUAGGAGAGCUUUAUGCUGUUGAUGAUAAGUGGUUUGGAUAUUAUAAUCAACCUUUGAUGAUUAGUGGCUUGGAAUAAUCUUCAUUUCAUGUAUUGACUUGGUUUGGAUCA